rnacentral:rRNA from 1 species
GAUGAACGCUGGCGGCGUGCCUAAUACAUGCAAGUCGAGCGAACAGACGAGGAGCUUGCUCCUUUGGCGUUAGCGGCGGACGGGUGAGUAACACGUGGGUAACCUACCUAUAAGACUGGGAUAACUUCGGGAAACCGGAGCUAAUACCGGAUAAUAUUUCGAACCGCAUGGUUCGAUAGUGAAAGAUGGCUUUGCUAUCACUUAUAGAUGGACCUGCGCCGUAUUAGCUAGUUGGUAAGGUAACGGCUUACCAAGGCAACGAUACGUAGCCGACCUGAGAGGGUGAUCGGCCACACUGGAACUGAGACACGGUCCAGACUCCUACGGGAGGCAGCAGUAGGGAAUCUUCCGCAAUGGGCGAAAGCCUGACGGAGCAACGCCGCGUGAGUGAUGAAGGUCUUCGGAUCGUAAAACUCUGUUAUUAGGGAAGAACAAACGUGUAAGUAACUGUGCACGUCUUGACGGUACCUAAUCAGAAAGCCACGGCUAACUACGUG